GGGAGCCUGAAUCGUGCAGAUUCCGCCUUACAAGCGAGGGGUCACUGGUUCGAUCCCAGUUGCGCCCACCA
rnacentral:tRNA from 1 species